GGAAUUGUUCGCAAUGGGCGCAAGCCUGACGACGCAACGCCGCGUGGAGGAUGAAGACCUUCGGGUCGUAAACUCCUUUCGAUCGAGACGAACGGCCUCCGGGUGAACACUCCGGAGGAGUGACGGUACCGGGAGAAGAAGCCCCGGCUAACUCCGUGCAAGCAGCCGCGGUAAUACGGGGGGGGCAAGCGUUGUUCGGAAUUACUGGGCGUAAAGGGCUCGUAGGCGGCCAAUUAAGUCAGACGUGAAAUCCCUCGGCUCAACCGGGGAACUGCGUCUGAUACUGGAUGGCUUGAGUUUGGGAGAGGGAUGCGGAAUUCCAGGUGUAGCGGUGAAAUGCGUAGAUAUCUGGAGGAACACCGGCGGCGAAGGCGGCAUCCUGGACCAACACUGACGCUGAGGGAGCGAAAGCCAGGGGAGCAAAC
rnacentral:rRNA from 1 species